rnacentral:tRNA from 1 species
GGCUAGGUGGCGGAGUGGUUAACGCGGUAGACUCGAAUCAAAUACGUUAUCUACUUCCUUCGGGAGCGUCUGUUCGAAUCAGGCCCUAGUCG